rnacentral:lncRNA from 1 species
CGGAGGCCGGAGACGAGGCUCUCGGAGGGUCCCCGGGGCCGAGGGAGCGCGGACGGCACGCGCGCCAUGAACCCGAAGGCGGGCGGUGAGGAAGAGGACUGCGUGGACUCUGGCGCCGAGACCGGAGGGUCCGACUACAGCCACCUGUCCUCCACCAGCAGUAAGUAUUCUUUGAAUGUCCUUCAAGGCUGUUGUCUAAAUGUUUAAUUGAAAUAUAAUUAC